rnacentral:rRNA from 1 species
ACGCUGGCGGCGUGCCUAAUACAUGCAAGUCGAACGAGUUCUGAUUAUUGAAAGGUGCUUGCAUCUUGAUUUAAUUUUGAACGAGUGGCGGACGGGUGAGUAACACGUGGGUAACCUGCCCUUAAGUGGGGGAUAACAUUUGGAAACAGAUGCUAAUACCGCAUAAAUCCAAGAACCGCAUGGUUCUUGGCUGAAAGAUGGCGUAAGCUAUCGCUUUUGGAUGGACCCGCGGCGUAUUAGCUAGUUGGUGAGGUAACGGCUCACCAAGGCAAUGAUACGUAGCCGAACUGAGAGGUUGAUCGGCCACAUUGGGACUGAGACACGGCCCAAACUCCUACGGGAGGCAGCAGUAGGGAAUCUUCCACAAUGGACGCAAGUCUGAUGGAGCAACGCCGCGUGAGUGAAGAAGGCUUUCGGGUCGUAAAACUCUGUUGUUGGAGAAGAAUGGUCGGCAGAGUAACUGUUGUCGGCGUGACGGUAUCCAACCAGAAAGCCACGGCUAACUACGUGCCAGCAGCCGCGGUAAUACGUAGGUGGCAAGCGUUAUCCGGAUUUAUUGGGCGUAAAGCGAGCGCAGGCGGUUUUUUAAGUCUGAUGUGAAAGCCCUCGGCUUAACCGAGGAAGUGCAUCGGAAACUGGGAAACUUGAGUGCAGAAGAGGACAGUGGAACUCCAUGUGUAGCGGUGAAAUGCGUAGAUAUAUGGAAGAACACCAGUGGCGAAGGCGGCUGUCUGGUCUGUAACUGACGCUGAGGCUCGAAAGCAUGGGUAGCGAACAGGAUUAGAUACCCUGGUAGUCCAUGCCGUAAACGAUGAAUGCUAGGUGUUGGAGGGUUUCCGCCCUUCAGUGCCGCAGCUAACGCAUUAAGCAUUCCGCCUGGGGAGUACGACCGCAAGGUUGAAACUCAAAGGAAUUGACGGGGGCCCGCACAAGCGGUGGAGCAUGUGGUUUAAUUCGAAGCAACGCGAAGAACCUUACCAGGUCUUGACAUCUUUUGAUCACCUGAGAGAUCAGGUUUCCCCUUCGGGGGCAAAAUGACAGGUGGUGCAUGGUUGUCGUCAGCUCGUGUCGUGAGAUGUUGGGUUAAGUCCCGCAACGAGCGCAACCCUUAUGACUAGUUGCCAGCAUUUAGUUGGGCACUCUAGUAAGACUGCCGGUGACAAACCGGAGGAAGGUGGGGAUGACGUCAAAUCAUCAUGCCCCUUAUGACCUGGGCUACACACGUGCUACAAUGGAUGGUACAACGAGUUGCGAGACCGCGAGGUCAAGCUAAUCUCUUAAAGCCAUUCUCAGUUCGGACUGUAGGCUGCAACUCGCCUACACGAAGUCGGAAUCGCUAGUAAUCGCGGAUCAGCACGCCGCGGUGAAUACGUUCCCGGGCCUUGUACACACCGCCCGUCACACCAUGAGAGUUUGUAACACCCGAAGCCGGUGGCGUAACCCUUUUAGGGAGCGAGCCGUCUAAGGUGGGACAAAUGAUUAGG